rnacentral:rRNA from 1 species
UACAGAGACUGCAAGCGUUGUUCGGAUUCAUUGGGCGUAAAGGGUGCGCAGGCGGCUCGUUAAGUCGGAUGUGAAAUCUCACAGCCUAACUGUGAUAGGUCAUUCGAAACUAGCGGGCUUGAGGACUGGAGAGGAGACUGGAAUAGUCGGUGGAGCGGUGAGAUGCGGAGAGAUCGACUAGAACACCGGUGGCGAAGGCGAGUCUCUGGGCAGUUCCUGACGCUCAGGCACGAAAGCCAGGGGAGCAAACGGG